rnacentral:rRNA from 1 species
AUACGGAGGAUCCGAGCGUUAUCCGGAUUUAUUGGGUUUAAAGGGUGCGUAGGCGGGCUUAUAAGUCAGCGGUGAAAGUUUGCGGCUCAACCGUAAAAUUGCCGUUGAUACUGUGAGUCUUGAGUGUAGAUGAGGUGGGUGGAAUUCGUGGUGUAGCGGUGAAAUGCAUAGAUAUCACGAAGAACUCCAAUUGCGUAGGCAGCUCACUGGGCUACAACUGACGCUGAGGCACGAAGGUGCGGGGAUC